GAUGAACGCUGGCGGCGUGCCUAAUACAUGCAAGUAGAACGCUGAAGGAGGAGCUUGCUCUUCUGGAUGAGUUGCGCACGGGUGAGUAACGCGUAGGUAACCUGCCUGGUAGCGGGGGAUAACUAUUGGAAACGAUAGCUAAUACCGCAUGACAACAGUUAUUGCAUGAUAACUGUUUAAAAGGGGCAACUGCUCCACUACCAGAUGGACCUGCGUUGUAUUAGCUAGUUGGUGAGGUAACGGCUCACCAAGGCGACGAUACAUAGCCGACCUGAGAGGGUGAUCGGCCACACUGGGACUGAGACACGGGCCAGACUCCUACGGGAGGCAGCAGGAGGGAAUCUUCGGCAAUGGACGGAAGUCUGACCGAGCAACGCCGCGGGAGUGAAGAAGGGUUUCGGAUCGUAAAGCUCUGUUGUAAGAGAAGAACGAGUGUGAGAGUGGAAAGUUCACACUGUGACGGUAUCUUACCAGAAAGGGACGGCUAACUACGUG
rnacentral:rRNA from 1 species